UAAGGAGAAAGAAAAAAUUAAGACCAUUUUGUAAGAAUGAUACAAAUUAUGGUGGUAAAUCGUUAGCAUUUUAGUUAUGUAAGAUAUAGACAAAACCAACAUUAAAAUUGUAAACUUGACAGUUUGAAGAAUGUUUGGGAGAAGGGAGAUUAUAAAUCAUAACGUUUCAUUACAUUAGCUGCAAGCAGUCCUGAGAUAAUGGAUAUAAUCAAAAGUGCCACUCUGUAAAAAUGUAAGGACAGACGGAAAAAUUAUCCCGACGUCGAUUCUAAAUUAUACUCCGAUUACAAGAGGAACUUAGGCUUAUAACUAGAGUUGUACAGAAUAUGAUCAGCCUGCAUUUAAAAAUGAGAUAAACCAGAAAUGAACCUAAAAAUUGAAGAAUUCAUGGAAGGAGAGCUACUUAGAUACCAUGCAGUUUUGUUAGAUUAUCUGUGAGUGAGGUAAUAAAUAAAAAUACCACUCUGUGUUUAGUAAAUGCAUCUAAGGCAUUUAAUUACUCCCAUAUCGAUCCACCAUUCUAUUGUGUUGGGUAUGACCAGGAUCUAAGAUUAGCAUUCUCAGUACUGCCAUUUGGGAAUAUGUUUAGUCCUAUGCAAAGGGGUUAAAUUGAAGAAAUUAAAAAACUGCUUAUUUUAUAGAUGGGACUUUAGAUAAUACUCAUCUCGAAAUUCCUACCCACCAAUUGUUUAUUUAUAGAUUAUUAUACCUCAUACACUAAUAUAUAUCAAGUAAUCAUUGGUAAUUAUGAAUAAGGUCAAGAAAAUGUACAGUACAUGGGUUAACGUUUAUCUUGGUUAUAUGGACAUAAUUAAUAAGUACAUAUAAACAAAUCGGGUAUUUCUUCAAAUACAAACAGAUAUGAUAAAUUCUAUUUGCCUCAGCACUUAUGUGCCGUGCACGAAUUGGUUAAAUAAGGCGCCUUAUAUAUUUUAGAAGAGUAGAUUUGCAUAGAUAUGAUCAUACCUAUAAUAACGAGUAAUUACCCCUCAUUUAAAUAAUGUUAAUAAACACUCAAUAAGUUUAUCCAAUAAUCAGUAAGUGUCUGCAAAAUAUAAUGCAUUCAAAUAUAAAGUCAUGAUAUGAUGUCUGUAUCCUGGUCUUUAAAUACAUUUAUUUUAGUAUUAUCAUUUCAGGGAGAAUUUAACACGAGCUUUGGAUUUAGAAAUGAUUUCACUCUUGAGUGAUAAUAGGUGCUUUUGAAGCAGUAUCCUUAUCUCUGAUAAACUUCUAGAAACAAUGUUUGUAAAUCUCUUGAGUUACCGUUUUGUUAACCUUAAAAACCAUCUUUACAUCCUUUAUUAUAUCUUCACAAUAACACACACCUAGCAAAAUAUUCAUAUACACAUAAUUUUUGUGUGGUGCAUUCAACAUUAUUUAAUCAUUUAAUACGGUGUUGUGAUUUAAAGAUAUUACAUUUCUUCGCUGGGUCGAAGCAUCGACUGCCACUUAGAACUCAUCAGCUUUAUUCUCCCUCAUUCAUGAGCACAAACACUCUUAGUUACACUUUAUACUAAUAUGUUCUUUUCUCAAGGAUGACAAAAUAAUAGGUUUAGAAAAUAUGAAAAAAUACUGUUCAAGUUGCCAACAACAACAUAACUAAAAAAAAUUAGGCCAAAAAAGAUCUGAUUCUCGUUGUAGAUUUUAAAAAAUAUGAGGAAGGAAAUAAAUAAAAAAUCAUUUACGGAUCUAGUAGAAGCAAGGUUGGAAUUCUUUGGUUGUUUAUUCCCAUUUUUACUCUUACUCCAUUAAGGACUUAGAAACAAGUAAUCAGUGUUAUUUUCCUUCUCCUAUGAGCACACUUUCUUGUUGUUACUUUAUAUGUACUUAGAUGUUCACUCAUUAAUAAAUGAAUAAUAAUGAUGAAAUCUUAGGAAAUAAAAUAAAAUUAUAUUCCAAUUGCCAACUACAAAAACAAAACAAAACAAAAACAGGCACCCUUACACAAGCUAAGGAUUUACUACUUUAUUUGUAAGUUUUGAACAGCGACACACUAACCUUAGGUUAAUAUGCUUUAAAGAUAAUAAUGAUGAUGUAUCAUUAUACAGACGCCGUUAAUCAUAGAUUCAUUUAAUAAGACCAGCUUUGAUAGAUAAAAAUUAACCAUUUUAAUAAUUUUUUAAAGGAAAGAAGUUUAACUACCAUGACACUUAAUUAGAAUCAAGCUAUGAUAAAAACAAUUAACACAAAUCCCAUUCCUCAUCCAUCAAUAAUAUAUGCAAAAAUAAUAUGAUGUCAAUCGUUUUUUUCUACUCCUAGCCUAACGAGGACUUACCCUUUUAACUCCCAAACAAAUCCAAGGUGUUGCUUUUCAUCUUUCACGGAAUUGUGGUUACUUUAUACUUAUAAGUUAUAUGUUAUCUCUUCAAUAAUAUAACAAUAAUGACAACACCUUUGGAUAAAAAAAAAAAUAUAUAUUCAAGUGUCAACUACAAAAAGCCGGCCAUCUUCCAUUAAACAACUAUUUUUAUCGAUGGUGAUGAGUAAUGAUAAUGUAAUUCACCAUCCAAGGGAAAAUAUAUGUGCAUUCGGCGUGUACAAAUAAACUCCCCUUCUUAAUUUGUUCGAUUUGCUUAUACACGAAGACAACUGAGUGUUCAAGUUAUUUAACACGUAAACAAGUUUCCAACGAAACGCCGGCGUUCUGUGGAUGCAAAUUCAAAACACAAAAAUAUUUUGCAUUUUUCUCGGAAAACGUUUCCGUGGUGGACUUUGUCGUCUUAAAAACACCUAACUAUAUCCGCCUAGAUGAAUACGUGUUUCAUGUCUUACUCUUCAUGUUUUGUAUAGUAAAAAUACAAAUUUAUUCACAUUAA
rnacentral:lncRNA from 1 species